GAUGAAGAACGUAGCGAAAUGCGAUAAGUAAUGUGAAUUGCAGAAUUCAGUGAAUCAUCGGAUCUUUGAACGCACAUUGCGCCCGCCAGUAUUCUGGCGGGCAUGCCUGUUCGAGCGUCAUUACAACCCUCAGGCCCCCGGGCCUGGCGUUGGGGAUCGGCGGAAGCCCCCUGUGGGCACACGCCGUCCCUCAAAUACAGUGGCGGUCCCGCCGCAGCUUCCAUUGCGUAGUAGCUAACACCUCGCAACUGGAGAGCGGCGCGGCCAUGCCGUAAAACACCCAACUUCUGAAUGUUGACCUCGAAUCAGGUAGGAAUACCCGCUGAACUUAAGCAUAUCAAUAAGCGGAGGA
rnacentral:misc_RNA from 1 species